UCUCUUUGAAUCUGCGAACGGCUCCGCAAACCAGUUGUAAACUAUCGCAAGCACGCCCCAGCGGCGGUCGCAAGGCUGACGCUGGGGUAAUAAGGAUAACCCUGGUAAUUCUGAGGCUAAUACAAGAAAGUAACCCCUGGUCGACCGGCAACGGAAAAUCGGGGAACGUGUGAUACAGCGCAAAGAUUGCUGGGAAUAGGUGCACGUUCAGACCACCAUACCAAACAGUGGCCGUAGCUUCGGCGAAAGCUUCCUGGGUGGCUCUUGCUGUGUGCUUCUGACCUAUCAACUUGAUGGCAGCGUAACGGACAUGCUAUGGUUACAACGGGUACAGAGGAUAAGGGUUCGAUCCUGGAGAGUGGGCCUGAGAGAUU
rnacentral:rRNA from 1 species